GGUUCAUAACAGCGUUUCAUACUUGGAAGAGGAAGAGAAAGGGAAGGGGGACGUGCAUGUAGCUCAUUUCACUCUACGGACGGAAGGAGAUGGACACCUGAACGGGACAUAUGGGUGUAGAAACGGAGGGUUAGCCACUGAUGCUGAAUGGAUGGGGUCGUUCCGACGUCACGCGGAGCCCCAGACGCGCAGCGCACCAGCCAACACAAGACGACAUUGGAAAGCGCGAGGCGUUCUCAACCGCAGAGCUGUCCAUGUUACCGCCAAACCAAAUCCUCACCAUAUAGUCUGAAGGAAAGAAGUCAAUGAUAUAGGUCUGAAUGCGGGUUCCUCAUUUUCCCCAUGGCUUGAAGAGAAGGUUGGCCGAAGGGGUUGGCUGUUAUCUUUGGUUAUCUAGCUGUAUGAGUGAUGUAAGUUCUUCAUAAAGCUAGAUAACCGAAAGUAACAAGAAUCCCAUUACACACCUGAAAGGCCACACCUAUCCAACAUUCCAUACCCUUUGCUUUUUCUUCUCACAAGACAUGAAAUGGCAGAAAGAACAGAAACGACGUCCAAUUUCUGUUGAAAAGAUGCCAGCGAAAGGGAUGGAAAACAUGGCGGAUGUUAAGGAGGAGGGGUGGUUUGGUUUGAGACUCUCUGUGCCCCACUAUGCAUUGCUGCUCUCAGCCCCUCCUCUCCCUGCCUGCCUGCCCCUUCCUCUUGUGACGAACGGCAAUCCACGCUUCACCACCAUCUUAGAGAGUGUUGGCAUGAAAUGGAAGAGGGAGGAAAAAUAAAAGAAUGAGCAGGUGAUGGAAGAACAGAGGAAAACUUUGUAGAAAAGACAUGCGAUCAUGGAUGGAUCAGUGCCUGCUGAUGAAGUUGUUGACCCAGAUGUCUGCACCAUUUUUGUGUGCCCCAACAUUAUUACAUUGAAGCACUUUAUAUGCCUCUUUAUUUUGUUUGGACAUUUUGUGAAUUUUUUUGUCAAGUCAAUUAUCUGUAAGAAUGUAGUUUAUUAUCAUCUGACAUCCUCACAUUAGCUCUGCAAACUCUACCUGGAUGUGUAAUUGAAAUUGUUGAAAGCAAUUUCAUCUGUCUAUUUUCCACAAUACAAAAUGCUGUUUUUUUUUUUUUACAUUAUUUUAUAGUUUUUAAACUAUAAUAAUAUCUUACAGAGGUCAACCAUUAAAUACAUUUAAUGUGUUACGUAUGUAAGUAUAUAUCUAAACCAGGUCAAGACAAUCACCUAGUCAUAUCUGCUUAGACAGGCGGUUAGCAUAAACUCAAUCUAGCAUAAAGCACUUUAAACAUUCAUAUAACCUUUCCUUCUUCCCAUUCUCAUAUUUUGUAUUUAAUGUCACAGGCCAGGCUUGAGAGCAUCUGCUAUUAUGAAAAUGACACUGCUUAAUAUGAUUGUAAUGUUAUGUUUAAAACAAGUAGCUAAAUAUUAGACUAAUGGUGUAGGGAUCAUGAAUGUGAGACGCACGGCAGCAGUGAAGGGUUACAAUGCACUGCAAUUGAACAGCUCUGUGUGUUGAUAUUUACACAUCUGGUAUAGAGAGAGCUGUUGUCUUUAUUCUCUAUGCAACUGAGUUGGUCAUGCAAUCAUGUGCAUGACCUUUCCUGAGCAGAUGGAACAUACUUUAUUCAAAUUUAAAAACAAUAUUUGAAAUGUUUUAAAUACUGGGUUAAAAUUAAGGAGAAGAAACACUUUGCAUAGUUUGUGUUAAUUUCUUUACUGUAUUUUGUCUAUGCAGCAUGAUUGAGUCUUCAUGCACAAGAAAUAAGUGAUAAUCCGAAUUUUUUACACAAGCUUGUAAAAAAGUGUAUGUAAUGUAGAUUGUAAAUGUAAAAUACUUCUUCUUCUUCUUCUUCUUCUUCUUCUUCUUCUUCUUCUUCUUCUUCUUCUUCUUCUUCUUCUUCUUCUUCACUUGUUAGUAGUAGUAGUAGGAGGUUGUUAGAUUGUUUCCUAAUCUGUUGUUACAUAAUCGUAAAAUUCAAUUUGGGCAGAGGCAAACACAUAUUUUAAUGAUCUAUGCAAAUAUAUUAAUAUUUAAUCAUAUAAUGAGUAUUGUGCAAUUGAGUUUGAGACCUAUUGAGACCUGCUGUUUUGGACAGUGAUGUCCUUAAACCCUAAGUCAGUAAACAAGCAAGUCAUUUUAAUUUUACAUAACAUUACAUUACUAUACUUAAAAAUCUUUUACUAUGCAAUUUAUUGUGGUGUAUAUGUGUGUUAUAUUUUGUAUAAUAUUGUGGUGUAUAUGUGUGUAUCGAAAAUGUUGUAUUUCCUUAUAUGAGGUUUUUGUCAUUUUUUGAUGUAGGCAACUUGUCUAAGACUAACAUAGUUUACUUUAUUAUUAGACCAUUUCUGGCAAUGAAAAUUU